rnacentral:lncRNA from 1 species
UGGCCGUAUACGUUAACCGGGAUAUUUUUUACCCCAAGAUGGUACUCUGAAUAAAAUCUUCUGCGGCUCCUGAUUGGAUGAUACAAAGUUGGAAUUGCUCCAAUAAAAUUUAAGCAGCGAUCGAUCAUCCAUGUAAUACACAAUCUUGAACAGGUGAGUCCGGACUGUGACCUGACAUGACCCCGGACUAGCCUGAAGUUUACUAUACCUGCGUGUAUUGCAUUACGACGACUAACUGUAUGUAAACUGUUUAUUGUCGUAAAGUAUAUUGACGGGACAUUUGAUCAAGCAUGUAAUACAUAAGAAAUUUAUAAGAUAUUUAUCCGACAUUUAACGAAAAAUAUAAUUGUAAUAGGCGAGUCCGGAUGGUGACCUGAAGUAACCCCGGACUAGGUGUAUUCGCAAACUAAAGACAUCGAUAGAGAUAUAAAACUUCACACAUUAUUUGACGAGACGAACUUAUUCAUUUUUAUUCAUUCAACUUUUUCCUUAUUGUAUUGUCGUCGGAAACAUUAAUAAAAGACGUUCACCGAGAAUCAACAAAUUAAUAUUAGGCGAGUCCGGACUGUGACCUGAUAUAACCCCGGACCAGGAGUAUACGGAUUGUAUAUAAAUAAACUAAAUUAUUUGUUUAAUUGAAAGAUUUUUUUCCCCUUUUUGCUUUUUACUUUUCCUUUAUUUAUUUCUCUAUUUCGUAAGUUAUUCGAAUGUCAUCGGAAAAUUCAAUAAACGAAACUUAAGCGGCGUUCAACAAUGUAAUACACUAUCUUGAACAGGUGAGUCCGGACUGUGACCUGACAUGACCCCGGACUAGCUUGAAGUUUACUAUACCUGCGUGUAUUGCAUUACGACGACUAACUGUAUGUAAACUGUUUAUUGUCGUAAAGUAUAUUGACGGGACAUUUGAUCAAGCAUGUAAUACAUAAGAAAUUUAUAAGAUAUUUAUCCGACAUUUAACGAAAAAUAUAAUUGUAAUAGGCGAGUCCGGAUGGUGACCUGAAGUAACCCCGGACUAGGUGUAUUCGCAAACUAUAGACAUCGAUAGAGAUAUAAAAACUUCACAAAUUAUUUGAUGAGACGAACUUAUUCAUUUUUAUUCAUUCAACUUUUUCCUUAUUGUAUUGUCGUCGGAAACAUUAAUAAAAGACGUUUACCUUAGAAUCAACAAAUUAAUAUUAGGCGAGUCCGGACUGUGACCUGAUAUAACCCCGGACCAGGAGUAUACGGAUUGUAUAUAAAUAUACUAAAUUAUUUGUUUAAUUGAAAGAUUUUUUUUCCCUUUUUGCUUUUUACUUUUCCUUUAUACAUUUCUCUAUUUCUUUAGUUAUUCGAUUGUCAUCGGAAAAAUCAACAAACGACACUUAAGGGCGUUCAACAAUGUAAUACACAUUCUUGAACAGGUGAGUCCGGACUGUGAUCUGACAUGACCCCGGACUAGCUUGAAGUUUACUAUACCUGCGUGUAUUGCAUUACGACGACUAACUGUAUGUAAACUGUUAUUGUCGUAAAGUAUAUUGACGGGACAUUUGAUCAAGCAUGUAAUACAUAAGAAAGUUAUAAAAUAUUUAUCCGACAUUUAACGAAAAAAUGAAAUGUAAUAGGCGAGUCCGGAUGGUGACCUGAAGUAACCCCGGACUAGGUGUAUUCGCAAAAUAUAGACAUCGAUAGAGAUAUAAAACUUCACACAUUAUUUGAUGAGACGAACUUAUUCAUUUUUAUUCAUUCAACUUUUUCCUUAUCAAAUUGUCAUCGAAAAAAUUAACAAAAGACUUUUAUCCGAGAAGCAACGAAAUAAUACUAGGCGAGUCCGGACCGUGACCUGAAAUAACCCCGGACUGGGAGUAUACGAGUUAUAUAUACAUAUACUGUAUUAAGUGUUUAAUUGAAAGAUUGUAUUUCCAUUUUUCAUUUUUCUUUUUUCUUCAUUUAUUUCUCUAUUUCUGUAGUUAUUUGACUAUGAUCGACAUGAUCAAUAAAAGACACUAAAGCAGCAAUCAACCAAUGUAAUACACAUUCUUGAACAGGUGAGUCCGGACUGUGACCUGACAUGACCCCGGACUAGCUUGAAGUUUACUAUACCUGCGUGUAUUGCAUUACGACGACUAACUGUAUGUAAACUGUUUAUUGUCGUAAAGUAUAUUGACGGGACAUUUGAUCAAGCAUGUAAUACAUAAGAAAGUUAUAAGAUAUUUAUCCGACAUUUAACGAAAAAAUAAAUGUAAUAGGCGAGUCCGGAUGGUGACCUGAAGUAACCCCGGACUAGGUGUAUUCGCAAACUAUAGACAUCGAUAGAGAUAUAAAAACUUCACAAAUUAUUUGAUGAGACGAACUUAUUCAUUUUUAUUCAUUCAACUUUUUCCUUAUUGGUAUUGUCGUCGGAAACAUUAAUAAAAGACGUUUACCCGAGAAUCAACAAAUUAAUAUUAGGCGAGUCCGGACUGUGACCUGAUAUAACCCCGGACCAGGAGUAUACGGAUUGUAUAUAAAUAUACUAAAUUAUUUGUUUAAUUGAAAGAUUUUUUUCCCCUUUUUGCUUUUUACUUUUCCUUUAUUCAUUUCUCUAUUUCUUUAGUUAUUCGAUUGUCAUCGGAAAAAUCAAUAAACGACACUUAAGCGGCGUUCAACAAUGUAAUACACAUUCUUGAACAGGUGAGUCCGGACUGUGACCUGACAUGACCCCGGACUAGCUUGAAGUUUACUAUACCUGCGUGUAUUGCAUUACGACGACUAACUGUAUGUAAACUGUUUAUUGUCGUAAAGUAUAUUG